rnacentral:rRNA from 1 species
UACGUAGGUGGCAAGCGUUGUCCGGAUUUACUGGGCGUAAAGGGCGUGCAGGCGGCUUGUUAAGUGCAGGGUGAAAGCUCCCGGCUCAACUGGGAGAGGUCCUUGCAUACUGGCGAACUCGAGGGAGGCAGAGGAAAGUGGAAUUCCCGGUGUAGUGGUGAUAUGCGUAGAUAUCGGGAGGAACACCUGUGGCGAAGGCGGCUUUCUGGGCCUUACCUGACGCUGAGACGCGAAAGCGUGGGGAGCGAACCGG